rnacentral:rRNA from 1 species
GUCUAUAGCUAUGCCACCCUGAAUGUGCCCGAUCUCGUCUGAUCUUGGAAGCUAAGCAGGAUCGGGCCUGGUUAUUACUUGGAUGGGAGAGCACCUACGAAGACCAGGUGCUGUAGGCG